UGGCAGCCAGCACCGGACUGCUCCUUGCAGAUGUAGUCCCACCUUCCUCACUAUGCCGGGCAUCUCCGAAAAACGUAGAGCCGAGGGAGGCCCAGCGUGAUUUCGGCACCAUUGCUUUCUGAACAAAGGUUACAUAAAUGAACGCUGCCAGACCCUCCAAACGUGGAGUAACGCGGAGCAAAUGGGCAGGAAUCUCGGAGAACAGAGCGGCAGGGGGAGCUCCAGCCUGCCUGUGGACAGGAGCGAGGGAAAACCAGAGGAAAACAACCUCCCCCAGGUCCCUGCUCCGCACUAGCUGCCAUGUCAGUGAGUAAAUAUGUGACUAAACCCAAUUAAAUGUUUAGUCUGAGGGCAGCAGAUGAUAGCGGUGGAGAUGGCGGUUUUCUGUGGGUUAUCGGACUGAUUCUGACAGCCGCGGGUGCGUUUGCGGUGCUGAGCUGUUCCCAGGCCCCCAAAGACAGCUCCCAGUUCAUAGAAAGCUCCUUAUAAAAAUGUCACUGCUGUGCAGGGAAUGUGUGAAGUAGACAAGCAUGCAGCACAUUAGUGGAGGACUGUCCCAACCUUUCAGAAAACCUAGGUCAGGAUUGCUAAGAGAAUCAAAACUGUCCAUGGAAGAAGAGAGUCAGGAGUGCUGUGUGAUACAUUCAGAAUGCUGCUCUACCUUCUGCCCACAGAAGAUGACAACAGAAGUGCAACAAAAUCAGCAAGAGGAACACCUAAUCUUUGCGUAGUAGCUCAAGUCUUAUGUACUCAACAGUUCAGCUAUAUAGUUCAGUAUCAAUGUGACUCAUGUAGCCUGUCUUUGAACGCAUCUACUUCUGACCACUCUGGUUUUCCUUCCUACUCACCUUUGACCUUCUUCUCCCUUUUUGGCUCUCUCCUCUUUACUUACCUUGGUGCAAAAAAGGGAGGAAACAUCCUGGUUGUCACCUCCAGCUGGAGCUGUACCUCUUCCUGUCCAUGAUGACAACUAACAUGAUUAUCAGUAUCAGUUCUUAGUGUAGCCAUUGAGUGUCCUCAUUCACUAAUGAUCCAAUACAGCUUGCAGGGGACAGGAGAGUUUCAAGGAGAUCUUUUCAAGAUGCCUGCAGGUUCAGGAAGUUCAAAUCAUCACAUCUGCUUUCCCUGUAUUUACUGUCACACUUUUCUAGCAUAAGGAAGGCUAGAAAUCCACUGUUGUUCUGCCCACUCUUUCAGACAAGGCAAGAAAUUGCUUGCUAAACACCCCUGCUCUAAUCCUGCAUAGCUUUCAUGACAACUUUUAUUAAACUACUCUGUUACGAAAGUAAAUAAUUACUGGGGACAAAACACAUCUUUAAGUACCUAUAUUUGUUGCAAACAACAUUUGCUAUUGUUUGACUCUCCUUUUUCAAGUUGAGAGACACUAAAAAUAAACACCACUUCCCUCCACUAACAGUAUCUGGGGAGAGAAAAGA